ACCAACAGGGAUUGCCUCAGUAACGGCGAGCGAAGCGGCAAAAGCUCAAAUUUGAAAUCUGGCGUCUUUUUUAGGCGUCCGAGUUGUAAUUUGAAGAUGGCAACUUUGGGAUUGGCUCUCGCAUAUGUUCCUUGGAACAGGACGUCAUAGAGGGUGAGAACCCCGUUCAUGGUGAGAUGUCCAAUCCUAUGUAAAGUGCUUUCUAAGAGUCGAGUUGUUUGGGAAUGCAGCUCUAAGUGGGUGGUAAAUUCCAUCUAAGGCUAAAUAUUGGCGAGAGACCGAUAGCGAACAAGUACAGUGAUGGAAAGAUGAAAAGAACUUUGAAAAGAGAGUGAAAAAGUACGUGAAAUUGUUGAAAGGGAAGGGCUUGAAAUCAGACUUGGUAUUCAGUGAUCAACUGUCUCUCGGGACUGUGCACUCGCUGUUUACUGGGCCAACAUCGGUUUGGAGGGUGAGAUAAAAGCUAGGGAAUGUGGCACUGCUUUCGGGUAGUGUGUUAUAGCCCUGGUCAAUAUCACCACUCUGGACCGAGGACUGCGCUUUUGCUAGGAUGUUGGCGUAAUGAUUUUAAGCCACCCGUCUUGAAACACGGACCAAGG
rnacentral:rRNA from 1 species